rnacentral:rRNA from 1 species
CCUACGGGAGGCAGCAGUGGGGAAUAUUGCACAAUGGGGGAAACCCUGAUGCAGCAACGCCGCGUGAGUGAAGAAGUAUUUCGGUAUGUAAAGCUCUAUCAGCAGGGAAGAUAAUGACGGUACCUGACUAAGAAGCUCCGGCUAAAUACGUGCCAGCAGC